AUAUUGCGCAAUGGAGGAAACUCUGACGCAGUGACGCCGCGUAUAGGAAGAAGUUUUUCGGAAUGUAAACUAUUGUCAUUAGGGAAGAGAAAGGACGGUACCUAAAGAGGAAUCCCCGGCUAACUAUGUGCCAGCAGCCGCGGUAAUACAUAGGGGGCGAGCGUUAUCCGGAAUUAUUGGGUGUAAAGGGUGCGUAGAAGGGAAAUUAAGUUAGUUGUGAAAACCCCAGGCUCAACUUGGGACGUGCAACUAAAACUGAUAUUCUUGAGUACUGGAGAGGAAAGUGGAAUUCCUAGUGUAGCGGUGAAAUGCGUAGAUAUUAGGAGGAACACCAGUGGCGAAGGCGACUUUCUGGACAGAAACUGACGUUGAGGCACGAAAGCAUGGGUAGCGAA
rnacentral:rRNA from 1 species